rnacentral:rRNA from 1 species
UGCGCAGGCGGUUCCAUAAGACAGAUGUGAAAUCCCCGGGCUCAACCUGGGAACUGCAUUUGUGACUGUGGAGCUAGAGUACGGUAGGAGGGGGAUGGAAUUCCGCGUGUAGCAGUGAAAUGCGUAGAUAUGCGGAGGAACACCAAUGGCGAAGGCAAUCCCCUGGACCUGUACUGACGCUCAUGCACGAAAGGCGUGGGGAGCAAACA